GGACCCGCACAAGUAGUGGAGCAUGUGGUUUAAUUCGAAGAUACGCGCAGAACCUUACCAACACUUGACAUGUUCGUCGCGACUUUAAGAGAUUAAAGUUUUCGGUUCGGCCGGACGAAACACAGGUGCUGCAUGGCUGUCGUCAGCUCGUGUCGUGAGAUGUUGGUUAAGUCCCGCAACGAGCGCAACCCUCACUUUUAGUUGCCAUCAUUUAGUUGGGCACUCUGAAAGAACUGCCAGUGAUAAGCUGGAGGAAGGUGGGGAUGACGUCAAGUCCUCAUGGCCCUUACGUGUUGGGCUACACACGUGCUACAAUGGCAGUGACAGAGGGGACGCUACCAGGUGACUGGAUGCA
rnacentral:rRNA from 1 species